GCUAAAUCAGGCUGCAAGUGAAAUCAUGUCAUGAAUACAUUAACUUUUAUUUCUUUCAGUGUCAAGACUCGUGUCUGCAGCAUCUUCCUCAAAGUUUGUCGGGAAGAAAAAGGAGGCCAGAUCUUGGAGGAGCAGGGUGGUCUUCAGAAACUGGAUUCAGAGUUGUCUUUGCACAAGUCCUUAGAUAUGGAGCAUUUGAUCUGUUCUUCCAACAUGUUUACAGUUUUGAAAUGAGAGGAAAAAACACACACAAAAAAAAAGGAAGAAAAAGAAGUGUUAUCAAGCUAAACCAAUAUGUGGGGAGUAAAAAAACGGGGAGAAGCAAAAGCAAGAAAGAGGAAGGAACUGAGAAAGUGAAAAUUACGUUUAAAAAUAAUAAUCUCCCAAYACAUGACGCCUGGUGGGGAAAGUCAAUGACUUUGCACGCUGAGGUGCAUCUCUGUGUGCUGCGGAUGGCAAAGCUGGAUGAGAUGUUAUCUGAGGUGUUAUCUGAGAGGGACGGCACAGGCAUAUUUUGUAGCACAGAGACGAAGAGAAAUACAAGGUUUUUCUCUCUGGCUGAUGAGCGGGGACCAAACGUACCCAUUCUCUAG
rnacentral:lncRNA from 1 species